AUGAGCAGAAGGACGGCUGCCGGUGCCUUUUGGCGCUGAGGAAAUCCAUCCAUCAUGUGGGGCUCGAGCACUGCAAAGUGCAGGCUGAGAAGCCUGGCAAUGGAGCAGAAAUCCUUUCAAAAGAGGACUGCAAACGAUACAUCCAUCUGAGAGAUGACCAUGAUGCGGAUUAAACUUGUAAACCUGUAGAAAUUCCUCUACAGAAAACCGCAGAGGACUCGGAUGGGAGUGUUGAAACGGCCAGCCUCGAGGAUGCAAGUCCAAAUAGGCUGCCGAUGAUCCCCACAAGAGGCGGCGGGUAGGACGCUAAGCUGAAUGCCGUCAAGAGAUCGAAUGGUAACAUCGAUCUCUGAACAGAAGAUGGAUUACUCUCUGCACAU
rnacentral:RNase_P_RNA from 1 species